CACGUAGGCGGCCCGUCAAGCGUCUUGUGAAAUCCCUCGGCUCAACCGAGGAAUUGCUGGGCGAACUGGCGGGCUUGAGACAGGCAAGGGUGCGUGGAACUCUUGGUGGAGCGGUGAAAUGCGUAGAUAUCAAGAGGAACGCCGGCGGCGAAAGCGACGCACUGGGCCUGACCUGACGCUGAGGUGCGAAAGCCAGGGUAGCGAACG
rnacentral:rRNA from 1 species